rnacentral:rRNA from 1 species
GGACGAACCAAGUGCUUGCACUUGGGGAAACCGGCGAACGGGUGAGUAACACGUGAGGAACCUGCCCUGUACACCGGGAUAACUACGGGAAACCGUGGCUAAUACCGGAUGCUCCACCGAGAUCGCAUGGUCUUGGUGGGAAAGCUCAGGCGGUACAGGAGGGCCUCGCGGCGUAUCAGCUAGUUGGUGGGGUAAUGGCCCACCAAGGCUACGACGCGUAGCUGGAGUGAGAGCUCGAACAGCCACACUGGGACUGAGACACGGCCCAGACUCCUACGGGAGGCAGCAGUGGAGAAUCUUGCGCAAUGGGCGAAAGCCUGACGCAGCCACGCCGCGUGCGGGAAGAAGGCCUUCGGGUCGUAAACCGCUUUCAGGAGGGAAGAAGCGAAAGUGACGGUACCUCCAGAAGAAGGCCCGGCUAACUACGUGCCAGCAGCCGCGGUAAUACGUAGGGGCCGAGCGUUGUCCGGAUUUAUUGGGCGUAAAGCGCAUGUAGGCGGCCUUGUAAGUCGAUUGUGAAAUCCCGAGGCUCAACUUNGGAACUGCAGUC